GAACAUACCUAUAAUUAUCAAUAAUCACUUUCCUCUAUCCUUCAAUCAAAGCAACUCAAUAGCAACCAUAAACAAAAUAUCAAUAGAAAAAUCAAAAGUACUAAAAUUCAUUUGGAAAAUGCAUAGACAAACAAAAAGACCCUACACACUAUCAAAGUUUAAAAUCUCACAUUUCAUUUUUCAUUCUCUUUUUCUCAAAGCUUCAGCCCAUAGCCAUGACAUCUCCCUUGACCUUGAUUUCCUAAUUCGAACGAACAAAUAUCAAUAAAAAAUCAACCAAAUGCUUCAUUGAGGCAUUUCAUCAAACACAUUGUAAGCUACCAAAAAGCUUCAUUGAGGCAUUUCAUCAAAUACAUUGUAAGCUACCAAAAUGUUUCAUCACAUAGCCAACCAUAAAGAAAAAAUGUAGAUUCAAAUUAGAAAAAUGAUUGUAAACAACAAUAUUGAAUAGGAUGGUAGAAAAAACAAACACAUAUCUCAUAUAAAAGCAAAACUAUGAGGGGUGUUUUUCAUAAAAAGAACCAUCAAUAUAUCACAUUGUAGGUAAAAUGGAAGCAUUUGAAGUUAAUAUACUGUAUAAAUACAAACAAUAGAAAUAAUGGUUGAGAUUCACCAGUGAGUUCAGCGGUGCAAGGGGUGUUGGGUGGUUGCAUCGGCUGAAGGAGAGAAAGAGAGGGAUUUUGCGCGUUGUUGACCAAAAGUAUAGUCUUUUGCGGCGUACGUGAGAGAGGGAGAGAGAUGGUUAGCGGAAGGGAGGAAAAAUCGAAGAGGGGCGACGUGUGGAUCUUCCACAGAGAAGAAGAAGAGAAGAAGAAGAGAAGAAGAAGAGAAGAAGAAGAAGAAGAGAAGAAGAAGAAGAGGAGGAGGUAGAGAAAAAGUUUUGGAGAUGUUUUAUUUUAAUAAAUAAAUUAUUUAAUGUUUUUAGAAUUAGGAAAAAAUCUGUUUUUAAUAAAAUUUUUACUUAAAAUAAAUUUUAUUUUAAUAAAUUAAAUAAAAUAUUUUUUGUAUCUUUUAUGACACCAAAUAACUGUUGCGGAAAGUAAAAUCCUAAAAAUUUCGUCUUUUCCCACAAAAAACGUGGUUUUUUAGCUUUUGUUACAAUUUUUUAUUUUCUCCUUUCAAUUUG
rnacentral:lncRNA from 1 species